UUAAAUUGAAGAGUUUGAUCAUGGCUCAGAUUGAACGCUGGCGGCAGGCCUAACACAUGCAAGUCGAACGGUAACAGGAAGAAGCUUGCUUCUUUGCUGACGAGUGGCGGACGGGUGAGUAAUGUCUGGGAAACUGCCUGAUGGAGGGGGAUAACUACUGGAAACGGUAGCUAAUACCGCAUAACGUCGCAAGACCAAAGAGGGGGACCUUCGGGCCUCUUGCCAUCGGAUGUGCCCAGAUGGGAUUAGCUAGUAGGUGGGGUAACGGCUCACCUAGGCGACGAUCCCUAGCUGGUCUGAGAGGAUGACCAGCCACACUGGAACUGAGACACGGUCCAGA
rnacentral:rRNA from 1 species